UUUCACACCUGACCUGGAUUCGCAUUCCCGGACCUCCGAGAGAUAAGUGGAGGGCUACGCCUCACAGAGGGGAUGAGAGCGAUGUGCCGGGUCAGGACUCGUCGGAAGGAUUUUUGAAUUAGCUCUGGAGACGGGGAUGUCCAAGAAAUGGUCCCUUUAGGCCACACGAUGGGAAAGUCUCACUUUUGAUCACAAUGCUGAGGCACGUAGGACAGAACAGUCCCGACGCAGAUCGAUUCUAUCUGUGGUGGAGCGCUCCAUACUAGGUGAGGGGGUUCGCACAGGAAGGAGGUAAAGCCGGAUCUCAGCAGUCAAUGUCAAGUGAGCGAGGCGGUCCACUUGCAUUACGCCGAACCCCCUCGCAGAACGGCCGACGGACCCGGCUCGCCGCCCUCGUGACCCCUCCGCAAGUAUCGCAAAGCUCUGCGAUGAAGCCUUGACCUUUUCCACGUGA